ensembl:lncRNA
CCUAACCCUUUACCCCUAACCCUUUACCCUAACCCAGCAUGAACAUCUCCCCUGACGGACAAGGUAGGGCUUUAUCCCUAACCCUUUACCCUAACCCAGCAUGAACAUCUCCCCUGACGGACAAGAUGCUCUUCCUGGGAUGGAGGGCCAGGGCCACUAUGAGGAGGACAACUUUGACUUUGAGACCUCAGGGGCAAACAACAACAUGGAUAAUGGAGGCUCCCAGAACCUCACCAAGCUCACCACGGCCAACAUGGACGACAUGGACAACUAUUACAACUUUGGGAAGGAUACAGCUAACUACAACACGUCUUGAGCAGCAGGAGAAUAGUGUUAAUGGACUACAGACCAUUAGACACCAUGGAUUAAUGGAGAAGAGACCAUGGGUUAAUGGUGGACUAACUGCAGACCAUGGGUUAUUGGUGGACUAACUACAGACCAUGGGUUAUUGGUGGACUAACUACAGACCAUGGGUUAUUGGUGGACUAACUACAGACCAUGGGUUAUUGGUGGACUAACUACAGACCAUGGGUUAUUGGUGGACUAACUACAGACCAUAGGUUAUUGGUGGACUAACUACAGACCAUGGUUUAUUGGUGGACUAACUACAGACCAUGGGUUAUUGGUGGACUAACUACAGACCAUGGGAAAACAGAAAGGAAAAUGCCACACUGCUGCUCAUGCUCCCAGCUGAUAUUUAUUUAUAACGUUUCCACCCUUAGGUCUUCAUCAGGUAUCCAGGACCUAAUGGUGGAAACAUUGUUAUGAAUAGAUAUCUGGGAGCACAAGCAGCAGUGUGGCGUUUUCCUUUCUGUUUUCCAUGAGUUUACCUAGAACUCCAGCACCUGUGGAAAGUACCUGGAUGUGUGUAUGUUCUUCAGCUUUUGUUAAUGGAGAGGAGACCAUGGGUGGGGAACAGACAACAUGGCUGCCGUGCUGUGGCAGUGAGAGAGACUGGGUUAGGGCGUGCUGUGGCAGUGAGAGAGACUGGGUUAGGGCGUGCUGUGGCAGUGAGUCUAGGUUAGGGCGUGCUGUGGCAGUGAGAGAGACUGGGUUAAGGUUAGGGCGUGCUGUGGCAGUGAGACACAGGGAGGGGGUUCAUGGACUCUUUAAGAACCAGAACUGACCUGUCCUGAUGGAGGGGCAGGACAUGCACUUCAACAGCCAAUUCGCUCCACCCGUCUCUGAUAGAAGUGACUCUGAGACUGACGAUUGUGUCUAGAAGUCCUUUGGUAUAUUCUACCAGACAUGAUUGGUCUAACGUCCUUUGGGAUAUUCUACCAGACAUGAUUGGUCUAGAAGUCUUUGGGAUAUUCUACCAGACAUGAUUGGUCUAGAAGUCUUUGGGAUAUUCUACCAGACAUGAUUGGUCUAGAAGUCCUUUGGGAUAAUCGACCAGACAUGAUUGGUCUAGAAGUCUUUGGGAUAUUCUACCAGACAUGAUUGGUCUAGAAGUCCUUUGGGAUAAUCGACCAGACAUGAUUGGUCUAGAAGUCUUUGGGAUAUUCUACCAGACAUGAUUGGUCUAGAAGUCCUUUGGGAUAAUCGACAAGACAUGAUUGGUCUAGAAGUCUUUGGGAUAUUCUACCAGACAUGAUUGGUCUAGAAGUCCUUUGGGAUAAUCUACCAGACAUGAUUGGUCUAGAAUCCUUUGGGAUAUUCUACCAGACAUGAUUGGUCUAAAGUCCUUUGGGAUAUUCUACCAGACAUGAUUGGUCUAGAAGUCUUUGGGAUAUUCUACCAGACAUGAUUGGUCUAGAAGUCUUUGGGAUAUUCUACCAGACAUGAUUGGUCUAGAAGUCUUUGGGAUAUUCUACCAGACAUGAUUGGUCUAGAAGUCCUUUGGGAUAAUCGACCAGACAUGAUUGGUCUAGAAGUCUUUGGGAUAUUCUACCAGACAUGAUUGGUCUAGAAGUCCUUUGGGAUAAUCUACCAGACAUGAUUGGUCUAGAAGUCUUUGGGAUAUUCUACCAGACAUGAUUGGUCUAGAAGUCUUUGGGAUAUUCUACCAGACAUGAUUGGUCUAGAAGUCUUUGGGAUAUUCUACCAGACAUGAUUGGUCUAGAAGUCCUUUGGGAUAAUCGACCAGACAUGAUUGGUCUAGAAGUCUUUGGGAUAUUCUACCAGACAUGAUUGGUCUAGAAAUCCUUGGGAUAUUCUAUCAGACAUAUAGUGACAGAUCUAAACUCUGAUAAGUUGUGGUAUGGAACUGUAUCAGCACUCAGAAAUCAGUUUUACACAGAAACAUCUUACCUGCCAUGGAAUCAUUCACCAAUCAGUAUGUUUUGACAGAAGGCCGUGCCAGAUGCAGUAUAACUCUGAUCUUAGAUCCAAAUAGACACACUGUAUACAGCGCCUUCAGAAAGUCUUCACACCCCUGGACUUUUUACACAUGUUGUGUUACAGCCUGGAUUUAAAAUGGAUUCAAUGUCACUGGCCUACACACAAUAAUACCCCAUAAUGUCAAGGUGAAUUUAUGUUUGUAGAAUUUUUUAUGAGAAGCUGAAAUGUCUUGAGUCAGUAAGUAUUCAACCCCUUUAUUAUGGCCAGCCUAAAUAAGUUCAGGAAUAAAAAUGUGCUUACCAAGUUGCAUGGACUCAGUCUGUGUGCAAUAAUACUGUUUAGCAUGUUUCUUGAAUGACUACCUUAUCUCUGUACCCCACACAUACAGAUAAUUGUAAGGUCCCUCAGUCGAGCAGUGAAUUUCAAACACAGAUACAACCACAAAGACCAGAGAGGUUUUCCAAUGCCUUGCAAAGAAGGGCACCUAUUGGUAGAUGGGUAAAAUAAAAAAGCAGACAUUGAUUAUCUCUUUGAGCAGGGUGAAGUUUUUAAUUACACUUUGGAUAGCAUAUCAAUAUACCAAGUCACUACAAAGAUGCAGGUGUCCUUCCUAACUCAGUUGCAGGAGAGGAAGGAAAUCGCUCAGGGAUUUCACCAUGUGGCCAAUGGUGACUUUAAAACAGUUAGAGUUUAAUGGCUGUGAUAGAAAACUGAGGAUGGAUCAACAACAUUGUAGUUACUCCACAAUACUAACUUGAAUGACAGAGUGAAAAGAAGGACGCCUCUACAGAAUACAAAUAUUCUAAAACAUGCAUCCUUUUGUAAGGCACUAAAGUAAUACUACAAAAAAUAUGUCAAAGAAAUUAACACUUUGUAUUCAGGACAUAAAGUUAUGUUUGGGGCACAUCCAAUACAACACAUCACUGAGUACCACUCUCCAUAUUUUCAAGCAUGGUGGUGACUGCAUCAUGUUAUGGGUGUGCUUUUCAUCAUUAAGGACUGGGGAGGUUUUCAGGAUAAAAAAGAACUGAAUGGAGCUAAGCACAGACAAAAUCCUAGAGGAAGACCUGGUUCAGUCUGCUUUCCAACAGACACUGGGAGAUGAAUUCACCUUUCAGCAGGACAAAAACUUAAAAUACAAGGCCAAAUAUACACGGAACAAAAAUAUAAACGCAACAUGCUACAAUUUCAAAGAUUCUACUGAGUUACAGGUCAUAAGGAAAUCAGUCAAUUGAAAUAAAUUCAUUAGACCCUAAUCUAUGGAUUUCACAUAACUUGAAAUACAGAUAUGCAUCUGUUGGCCACAGAUACCUUAACAAAAAGGUAUGUGCAUGGAUCAGAAAACCAGUCAGUAUCUUUUUUUACCCUUAUUUAACUAGGCAAGUCAGUUAAGGGCAAAUUCUUAUUUUCAAUGACGGCCUAGGAACAGUGGGUUAACUGCCUGUUCAUGGGCAGAACGACAGAUUUGUACCUUGUCAGCUCGGCGAUUUGAACUUGCAACCUUUCGGUAACUAGUCCAACACUCUAACCACUGGGCUACCCUGCCGCCCAUUUGGUGUCACCCCCAUUUGCCUCAAGCACCGCAACACAUCUCCAUCGCAUAGAGUUGAUAAGGCUGUUAAUUGUGACCUGUGGAAUGUUGUGCCACUCCUCUUCAAUGGCUGUGUGCAGUUGCUGGAUAUUGGCAGGAACUGGAACACACUGUCAUACACGUUGAUACAGAGCAUCCCAAACAUGCUCAAUUAAUGACAUGUCUGGUGAGUAUGCAGGCCAUGGAAGAACUGGGACAUUUUCAGCUUCCAGGAAUUGUGUUCAGAUCCAUGUGACAUGGGCCCGUGCAUUAUCAUACUGAAACAUGAGGUGAUGGCGGUGGAUGAAUGGAUGAGUGGACAAUGGGCCUCAGGAUCUCAUCACGGUAUCUCUGCAUUCAAAUUGCCAUCGAUAAAAUGCAGUUGUGUUCAUUAUCCAUAGUUUAUGCCUGCCCAUACCAUAACCCCGCCGCCACCAUGGGGUACUCUGUUCAUCAGCAAACCUCUCGUACACUCGACGCCAUACACACUGUCUGCCAUCUGCCCGGGACAGUUGAAACUGGGAUUAAUCCAUGAAGAGCACACUUUUCCAGCGUGCCAGUGACAAUUGAAGGUGAGCAUUUUCCCACUGAAGAUGGUUAUGACGCCGAACACGCAGAUGAGCUUCCCUGAGACAGUUUUUGACAGUUUGUGCAGAAAUUCUUUGGUUGUGCAAACCCACAGUUUCAUCAGCUGUCCAGCUGGCUGGUCUCAGACAAUCCCGCUGGUGAAGAAGCUGGUUAUGGAGGUCCUGGGCUACAGUGGUUACACGUAGUCUGCGGUUCUGAGGCUGGUUGGACGUACUGCCAAAUUCUCUAAAACUACGUCGAAGGCAGCUUAUGGUAGAAAUUAACAUUAAAUUAUCAGGCAACAGCUCUGGCGGACAUUCUUGCCGUCAGCAUGCCAAUCGCACGCUCCCUUAAAACUUGAGACUUCUUGGCAUUGUGCUGUGUGACAAAACUGCACAUUUGUGUGGCCUUUUAUUGUCCCCAGCACAAGGGGUACCUGUGUAAUGGUCAUGCUGUUUAAUCAGCUUCUUGAUUUGCCACACCUGUCAGGUGGAUGGAUUAUCUUGGCAAAGGAUAAAUGCUCACUAAUGGAUGUCAACAAAUUAGUGCACAACAUUUGAGUGAAAUAAGCUUUUUGUGUGUAUGAAACAUUUCUGGGAUCUUUUAUUUCAGCUCAUUAAACAUGGGUUCAACACUUAUCUAUUUUUGUUCAGUAUACAUUUGAGUGCUUACCAAGAUGACAUUGAAUGUUCCGGUGUGGCCUAGUUACAGUUUUUACUUAAAACUACUUGAAAAUCUAUGGCAAGACCUUAAAAUGGCAGUCUAGCAAUGAUCAACAACCAACUUGACAGAGCUUGAAGAAUUAAAAAGCUCUUAGAGAUUUACCCAGAAAGACACAGGUGUAAUCGUUGCCAAAGGUGAUUCUAACAUGUAUUGACUCAGGGGGUUGAAUACUUAUCUAAUCACAAUAUAUUAGUAUUUUGUGUAGAUCAUUGACAAAAAAAUGACAAUUAAAUCCAUUUGAAUCCCACUUUGUAAAACAACCAAAUCUGGAAAGAGUCGAGAGGUACUUUCUAUUAGACAUUGAUACAUAUAACAGGUUUGAAUGAUCUUCACAACAUGCCUGAUCUGCAGCAUGGAGGAGCACAGGAACAGUCUUCUAUGAGCUGAUCUGGAGUAAGGUCUAUACUUCCCAAAGUGACUGCUGUCUGCUGUUUCUGCUGGCUAAUACUACAACAUGUUGCUGAUGUGUAACCACUUACAGUACUGUCUCCUUACUCUACAAACAAACCUUUUUCCCCCACCUUGUUUCACUUGGUUUAGCUUGACAUUCAGACCAGAUCUGGACCGGGCUACCUGAGACGGUACGACCAGAUCUGGACCGGGCUACCUGAGACGGUACGACCAGAUCUGGACCGGGCUACCUGAGAC